AUACUAUAGGUGGACCGCAAUGUCAAAAUUGCUGUUCAAUUGCUGUUCGUCCAUUGCUCGUCAGAAAACAAAUCAUAUCUUUUGGUGACAAAUGCAUUCGUUGGCAAAAUAGCUGCUCGCGCUUUACUGUAGGCAGAUAUCUACAAUCAGCGGUCGAAUUAAGAACAGUGCAGAAGGAUGUUUUGAGUAUAUUUUACCUUCUAGCCGCGCAAUCAAUGCUUUUCUUUCCAAGCAAGCAGCGUUUUAAUCGGCAAAAGCAUGAAAUAGAAUCGUACGUGGUACGAAUUUAUCGGCACAAUCUGAUCAAGGACGGAGGCAUCAUCAAACGGAAACUACGCGAGAAACUUUUCGAAGAGAUAAAAUUGAUUGAUUGAUUGAUUAUUUGAUUUAUUUCAGUCGGCUUUAACCUUUCAGGUCAUUCGCCGUCUAUCGAAAAAUAUUGAUAUUACAAAUGUAUACAAUGUUAUUACAUGACGUGGUGAAAAAUAAACGAAACAUUGAACAACUUUAAACUUCUGUAGUGAACGCAACCGCUCCAGAUGUGUAGCAUGCUUACUGCGCAGAUUAUCUCGUCCGUUUCUUUUCUUCCUCGUAGCCGUGGCAGAUUGUAAAUUGCAGUACGCCGGAUACACUAAAGUGUGUGGCAUUUGUGUCAUUGGUGGCUGAGCCCGACCUUCGAAAUAAAAACGAUGUACACUUUUGGAUUUAAAAUAGCUUAGCAGAACAACCGAUCGGUAUGGAGGCUCUACAUGAACUGCGAAGAGAUAAAACUGCGCCGCAACACUCGUGUCAAAAUGGGUGCUGAUGAACCACGAUUUGAUAACACGUAAUGAGCCAAUCCAACAGCAUGCCAAUGGUAAUCGACCAAAUCAUUUUAAAUUCAACAUGGAGCGGUUGCGAAACCUACAAUCACGCUGAGUUGACUUCCAAAAAGCGAAACAAAUUCCUGCGUAUGCUGGAUGCAAUUUUACAAAACAACAAAGUUUUGAAGGAAAUUAAAGAGAUGGUAGUGGCGAAUCGAUUUCUAUCGGAAAUUCGUUAUGUGACUGCGGUGGAACGUAUGCUGAAACACAAUUUGGACCCCUCUUUGCGCUGCUGCUUUGUAUGCCGAGAGUAUUUCCGCACUGCCGAUGAGUAUACCAGUCAUUCCGAAAAAUUGCACGGUGAGAAAUUUCUUAUUGUUGC